GAUAAACGCUGGCGGCGUGCCUAACACAUGCAAGUCGAACGCCCUUGCGCAAGCGAGGGAGUGGCGGACGGGUGAGGAACACGUGGGUAUCUACCUUGAGGUGAGGAAUACCGGCGAGAAAUCGCCGACAAUACCGCAUACGCUUCUUUGGAAGCAAAGCUCUUUUCGGAGAGCGCCACAAGAUGAGCCUGCGCCCGAUUAGCUAGUUGGUGAGGUAAGAGCUUACCAAGGCGACAAUCGGUAGCUGGUCUGAGAGGACGAUCAGCCACACUGGGAU
rnacentral:rRNA from 1 species